GAUGAAGAACGCAGCGAAAUGCGAUACUUGGUGUGAAUUGCAGAAUCCCGUGAACCAUCGAGUCUUUGAACGCAAGUUGCGCCCGAAGCCACUAGGCCGAGGGCACGCCUGCCUGGGCGUCACACGCCGUUGCCCCCCCAUCUACUCCUUCGGGAUUGCGGGGGGGCGGAUGAUGGCCUCCCGUGCGCCUAGCCGCGCGGUUGGCAUAAAUACCAAGUCCUCGGCGACGCACGCCACGACAAUCGGUGGUUGCGAAACCUCGGUUGCCCGUCGUGUGCGUUCGUCGCGCAUUGAGGGCUCGAAAAAAUGCUCGGCUCCGGCUGGGCUUUCAACGCGACCCCAGGUCAGGCGGGGUUACCCGCUGAAUUUAAGCAUAUCAAUAAGCGGAGGA
rnacentral:misc_RNA from 1 species